GACGAACGCUGGCGGCGUGCUUAACACAUGCAAGUCGAACGGUGAAGCGCCUUCCUUUUUGGUGGGUGUGGAUGAGUGGCGAACGGGUGAGUAACACGUGAGUAACCUGCCCCCUUCUUCUGGAUAACCGCAUGAAAGUGUGGCUAAUACGGGAUAUUCUGGGUCUGUCGCAUGAUGGGUCUGGGAAAGAUAUUGUUUCGGUGGGGGAUGGGCUCGCGGCCUAUCAGCUUGUUGGUGGGGUGAUGGCCUACCAAGGCGGUGACGGGUAGCCGGCCUGAGGGGGUGGACGGUCACACUGGGACUGAGACACGGCCCAGACUCCUACGGGAGGCAGCAGUGGGGAAUAUUGCACAAUGGGCGCAAGCCUGACGCAGCGACGCCGCGUGAGGGAUGGAGGCCUGCGGGUUGUGAACCCCCUUCGCCAGUGAAGCAGGCCUGCCUCGUUUGUGGGUGGGUUGACGGUAGCUGGAUAAGAAGCGCCGGCUAACUACGUG
rnacentral:rRNA from 1 species